UACCAGCACCCCGAGUGGUCGGGACGAUUAUUGGGCCUAAAGCAUCCGUAGCCGGCCUUACAAGUCCUCCGUUAAAUCCAGCUGCUUAACAGAUGGGCUGCGGAGGAUACUAUAAGACUAGGAGGCAGGAGAGGCAAGCGGUACUCAGUGGGUAGGGGGUAAAAUCCGUUGAUCCAUUGAAGACCACCAGUGGCGAAGGCGGCUUGCCAGAAUGCGCUCGACGGUGAGGGAUGAAAGCUGGGGGAGCAAACCGGG
rnacentral:rRNA from 1 species